UUACGGGAGGCAGCAGUGGGGAAUUUUCCGCAAUGGGCGAAAGCCUGACGGAGCAACGCCGCGUGAGGGAUGAAGGCCUCUGGGCUGUAAACCUCUUUUAUCAAGGAAGAAGAUCUGACGGUACUUGAUGAAUAAGCCACGGCUAAUUCCGUGCCAGCAGCCGCGGUAAUA
rnacentral:rRNA from 1 species